rnacentral:rRNA from 1 species
GACGAACGCUGGCGGCGUGCUUAACACAUGCAAGUCGAACGGAAAGGCCCUGCUUUUGUGGGGUGCUCGAGUGGCGAACGGGUGAGUAACACGUGAGUAACCUGCCCUUGACUUUGGGAUAACUUCAGGAAACUGGGGCUAAUACCGGAUAGGAGCUCCUGCUGCAUGGUGGGGGUUGGAAAGUUUCGGCGGUUGGGGAUGGACUCGCGGCUUAUCAGCUUGUUGGUGGGGUAGUGGCUUACCAAGGCUUUGACGGGUAGCCGGCCUGAGAGGGUGACCGGCCACAUUGGGACUGAGAUACGGCGCAGAAUCCUACGGGAGGCAGCAGUGGGGAAUAUUGCACAAUGGGCGGAAGCCUGAUGCAGCAACGCCGCGUGCGGGAUGACGGCCUUCGGGUUGUAAACCGCUUUCGCCUGGGACGAAGCGUGAGUGACGGUAAUGGGUAAAGAAGCACCGGCUAACUACGUG